AUUGAACGCUGGCGGCAGGCCUAACACAUGCAAGUCGAACGAGUGGCGGACGGGUGAGUAAUGUCUGGGAACCUGCCUGAUGGAGGGGGAUAACUACUGGAAACGGUAGCUAAUACCGCAUAACAUCAGAUGUGCCCAGCUGGGAUUAGCUAGUUGGUAGGGUAACGGCUCACAAAGGCGACGAUCCCUAGCUGGUCUGAGAGGAUGAACGGCCACACGGGAACUGAGACACGGUCCAGACUCCUACGGGAGGCAGCAGUGGGGAAUAUUGGACAAUGGGCGCAAGCCUGACCCAGCCAUGCCGCGUGAAUGAAGAAGGUCUUCGGGUUGUAAAGCACUGUCAGCGGGGAGGCGUUACCCACAGAGGAAGCACCGGCUAACUCCGUGCCAGCCGCCGCGGUAAUUC
rnacentral:rRNA from 1 species